rnacentral:rRNA from 1 species
UACGGGGGGGGCAAGCGUUGUUCGGAAUUACUGGGCGUAAAGGGCUCGUAGGCGGCCAACUAAGUCAGACGUGAAAUCCCUCGGCUUAACCAGGGAACUGCGUCUGAUACUGGAUGGCUUGAGUGUGGGAGAGGGAUGCGGAAUUCCAGGUGUAGCGGUGAAAUGCGUAGAUAUCUGGAGGAACACCGGUGGCGAAGGCGGCAUCCUGGACCAUUACUGACGCUGAGUGAGCGAAAGCCAGGGGAGCAAACGGG